rnacentral:rRNA from 1 species
UUGGGCUAUACGGGCCCAAAGUUUACAUGAACUAAUCGCCAAGAUGCCGACACCCAUGUCAAGGUGCGUCUUGACCGGGUUGUUGGUAAUGGCGAGUUCUCACUGUUGUUUGAUGACUAUGAGGUAAAUAAUGUUAUCACCAUGACAUCCGACCACUAUGCGGUUUUCAUCCUGUUGAACAGAGUUGAUCAUAGUAGAGAUAAUGCUCCGGUGCAGCAGGGUUUCCGCUUUGAGGCCAUGUGGUUGCGAGCGCCUGAUUAUCGAGAUGUGUUGGAAAAUGCAUGGCGUGAACAUAGCAAUGGGGUUUGCUCGCUUCAGUCGACUUGGUCCAACCUGCAACAAGUGGCGGGCUUGCUAAAGGAUUGGAGCACGGUGACUUUUGGCUCUGUAAGGAGAUAGAUCGCCAAGUUGGAACGGAGACUGCAUGCCCUGCGGCGGCAAGCAGUUUCCACAGAAGUGAUCGCUAGUGAAUGAGCCAUCGGGGCUGAACUUUGUGAACUUUUUGAAAGAGGAGAGAUAAUUGCUCGACAACGAUCAAGAGGGGAUUGGCUCCGCGAGGGAGACCGUAAUACUGAAUUCUUUCAUGCCAGGGCGUCUGCAAGAUGACAUACUAAUAAAAUUAAGGUGUUGAUUAAAGAUGAUGGUACGAGUUGUUCGAGUCAGGGUGGUAUGAAGAAUAUGGUUCAGGAUUUCUAUGGGAACUUAUUCACAUCAUAACCAUGUAUUGCUUCAGACGAGGUUCUUGAUGCGAUACCAUAGAAAAUUGAUGCGGCAAUGAAUGAUAGUCUCUGUAGACCCUUUAUAGAGGACGAGAUCAAAACAGCUCUUUUCCAGAUGGGCCCGACGAAAGCGCCGGAUACAGAUGGGUUCCCAGCUUUGUUUUACCAAACACACUGGGAAUUUCUCAAACAUGAGAUCUGUGCCGCUGUGCGAGGCUUUCUAUUGGGGGAAACAGUUCUAGAGGGUCUGUGUGAUUUUGUGAUUCUUCUUAUUCCAAAGAUAGCAAACCCAGAGCACCUCACUAAUGUCCGCCCGAUAAGUUUGUGUAAUGUUCUGUACAAGAUUGCAUCGAAGGUCUUAACGAAUAGACUUAAGGUGUUUUGCCAGACAUUAUUUUUAAGUAUCAUAGUGCUUUUGUUCCAGGAAGGUUGA